rnacentral:rRNA from 1 species
CCUACGGGAGACAGCAGUGAGGAAUAUUGGUCAAUGGGCGCGAGCCUGAACCAGCCAAGUCGCGUGAGGGAAGACGGUCCUAUGGAUUGUAAACCUCUUUUGUCGGGGAGCAAAAGACGCCACGCGUGGCGUUCCGAGAGUACCCGAAGAAAAAGCAUCGGCUAACUCCGUGCCAGCAGCCGCGGUAAUACGGAGGAUGCGAGCGUUAUCCGGAUUUAUUGGGUUUAAAGGGUGCGCAGGCGGAAGAUCAAGUCAGCGGUAAAAUUGAGAGGCUCAACCUCUUCGAGCCGUUGAAACUGGUUUUCUUGAGUGAGUGAGAAGUAUGCGGAAGGCGUGGUGUAGCGGUGAAAUGCAUAGAUAUCACGCAGAACUCCGAUUGCGAAGGCAGCAUACCGGCGCUCAACUGACGCUCAUGCACGAAAGUGUGGGUAGCGAACAGGAUUAGAUACCCGGGUAGUC